UUAAGCAAUAAGAGCAUAGGGUGAAUGCCUAGGCACUGAGAGCCGAAGAAAGACGUGAUAAGCUGCGAAAAGCUGCGGGGAUUGGCAAAUACGAGUUGAUCCGCAGAUAUCUGAAUGGGGAAACCCACUAGAGAAGACCUCUAGUACCGUACAGCCAAUACAUAACUGUACGGAGGGAACCCGCUGAACUGAAACAUCUAAGUAGGCGGAGGAAGAGAAAACAACCGUGAUUCCGAAAGUAGUGGCGAGCGAAAUCGGAAGAGCCCAAACCGAGGUGCGUGCACUUCGGGGUUCGGACUGCAUAAAGAUCUGUAAGUGAGUGGAAGCCGAUGGAAAUAGGCGCCAUAGAGGGUGAAAGCCCCUUACACGAAGCGUAAAGGAUCAAGCAGUAUCCAGAGUACUGUCAGACACGUGGAACCUGGCAGGAAGACGGGGGGACCACCCCCCAAGGCUAAAUACUACUCAGUGACCGAUAGCGAUUAGUACUGUGAAGGAAAGGUGAAAAGGACCCCGGGAGGGGAGUGAAAGAGAACCUGAAACCCUAUGUUUACAAGCUGUGGAAGUGCGAUACAUGAACGCACAACCGCGUACUUUUUGUAGAACGGUCCGGCGAGUUACAUUGACUGGCAAGGUUAAGCACUACAGGUGUGAAGCCGAAGGGAAACCAAGUCUGAAUAGGGCGAGAUAGUCAGUGGAUGUAGACCCGAAACCGGGUGAUCUAUCCAUGUCCAGGUUGAAGUUCGCGUAAAAGUGAAUGGAGGACCGAACACACAUCCGUUGAAAAGGGUGGUGAUGAGGUGUGGAUAGGGGAGAAAUUCCAAUCGAACCCGGAGAUAGCUGGUUCUCCUCGAAAUAGUUUUAGGACUAGCCUUGUUUUAGUUUCAUGGAGGUAGAGCUCUGAAUUCUUAAGGGGGCGUCAAAGCUUACUAAGAGAUAUCAAACUGCGAAUGCCAUCGAAAUGAUGAACAGGAGUCAGACUGCACGAGAUAAGUUGGGUAGUCAAAAGGGAAAGAGCCCAGACCUACGGCUAAGGUCCCAAAGUGUGUGUUAAGUGGAAAAGGAUGUGGGAUUUCGAAGACAGCUAGGAUGUUGGCUUAGAAGCAGCCACACAUUCAAAGAGUGCGUAAUAGCUCACUAGUCGAGAGGUCCUGCGCCGAAAAUUAACGGGGCUAAAACAUGACACCGAAGCUUAGGGAUGGUGUAAACCAUCGGUAGAGGAGCAUUGAAAACACGUAGAAGCGGUACCGGAAGGAGCCGUGGAGAGUUUUGAAGAGAGAAUGCCGGAAUGAGUAGCGAGAUGGAGGUGAGAAUCCUCCAGGCCGAAUAUCUAAGGUUUCCAGGGUAAAGCUGAUCUGCCCUGGGUAAGUCGGGGCCUAAGGCGAGGCUGAGAAGCGUAGUCGAUGGACAACUGGUGUAGAUUCCAGUACCUUACUAAAUCAGAAAUGUGGGGACACAUGGAGAAAGAGAGAGCCGGGAAUGAGAAGACCGGUGCAAGGGAGGUAGGAGUGUAGUAGGAAAAACCGCUACACAAUCUGAAGACCUGAUGCGGAUCGAAAAGAAGUAGAGAAGCUCUUGGACUCUGUGGCGAGAAAAGCCGCUAUUGUGUUUAGUAAGCCCGUACCGCAAACCGACACAGGUAGAUGAGGAGAGAAUCCUAAGGCCGGCGGGAGAAGCAUUGUUAAGGAACUCGGCAAAAUGACCCCGUAACUUCGGGAGAAGGGGUGCCACUGGAAACAGUGGUCGCAGAAAAAAGGCUCAAGCAACUGUUUAGCAAAAACACAGGUCUAUGCGAAACCGUAAGGUAAAGUAUAUGGGCUGACGCCUGCCCGGUGCUGGAAGGUUAAGAGGAGAGGUUAGAGCAAUCGAAGCUUUGAAUUGAAGCCCCAGUAAACGGCGGCCGUAACUAUAACGGUCCUAAGGUAGCGAAAUUCCUUGUCGGGUAAGUUCCGACCCGCACGAAAGGCGUAAUGAUUUGAGCGCUGUCUCAACAAUGCACCCGGUGAAAUUGAAGUACCAGUGAAGAUGCUGGUUACCCGCGCCAGGACGGAAAGACCCCAUGGAGCUUUACUCCAGCUUGAUACUGGGAUUCGGUAAUGUAUGCACAGGAUAGGUGGGAGACUGAGAGGAUAGUACUUCGGUAUUAUCGGAGUCGCUGUUGGGAUACCACCCUUAUGUUAUUGGAUUUCUAACCUUAGGCCGUAAGCCGGUCAAGGGACAAUGUCAGGUGGGGAGUUUGACUGGGGCGGUCGCCUCCGAAAG
rnacentral:rRNA from 1 species